CCCCUGGACAAAGACUGACGCUCAGGUGCGAAAGCGUGGGGAGCAAACAGGAUUAGAUACCCUGGUAGUCCACGCCGUAAACGAUGUCGAUUUGGAGGUUGUGCCCUUGAGGCGUGGCUUCCGGAGCUAACGCGUUAAAUCGACCGCCUGGGGAGUACGGCCGCAAGGUUAAAACUCAAAUGAAUUGACGGGGGCCCGCACAAGCGGUGGAGCAUGUGGUUUAAUUCGAUGCAACGCGAAGAACCUUACCUGGUCUUGACAUCCACAGAACUUUCCAGAGAUGGAUUGGUGCCUUCGGGAACUGUGAGACAGGUGCUGCAUGGCUGUCGUCAGCUCGUGUUGUGAAAUGUUGGGUUAAGUCCCGCAACGAGCGCAACCCUUAUCCUUUGUUGUCCAGCGGUUAGGCCGGGAACUCAAAGGAGACUGCCAGUGAUAAACUGGAGGAAGGUGGGGAUGACGUCAAGUCAUCAUGCCUUACGACCAGGCUACACACGUGCUACAAUGGCAUAUACAAAGAGAAGCGACCUCGCGAGAGCAAGCGGACCUCAU
rnacentral:rRNA from 1 species